rnacentral:hammerhead_ribozyme from 1 species
AUCCAGCUGACGAGUCCCGAAAUAUUACGAAACGCGCGUCCUGGAU